AUUCCUUUGGAUUGAAAUAAUUUUUCUCAAUCAUACUUCUUAUUACCUCAAAACUGAAGCUGAGACUGUCAGGGUUACUUUGUCAUACUAGUAGUUUAAUAUGAGCCGGAGCCUAUUUGGAGCUGGUAAGUUGUCUGUUCUAAAGGUUACCUCUCAAUGUAGAAGUUUCAUGGAGUACCAUGCAAAAUUUUGUGACAAAAAACAAAGUGGACAUGCUGUAAUUCUAUAGACCCUAAUUUGAUGUUGAUGAAGGAUGAUGUCUAUGAUUGGAUUUUGGAACUCUUUCUGGAUAAUUAUCUCAAUAGAUACAAUUUUACAAAGAGAACACACAAUUUCUCAAAUCAAACUCUAAUAAGACUACUUUUUCAAUCUCUCUCUAAAAGAAAAUUAUCAACUGAAGUAGAAUCAAC
rnacentral:lncRNA from 1 species